ensembl:lncRNA
CUGUGACUCAAUUUAGUGACUCAGCCUGGCAUUCAGCACCUCACCAUACCUCUCUAUUUUUCUAGCUUUUUAUAAUAUAGAAAAAAAUAGAAAGCUGCAAGGAGAAGAUAGAAAAACUGGGUCCCAGUUCACCACUCUCCAUCACUGGCCAAUAAAAGCAAGCCACUUAACCCCUCUUGGCUUCAGUCAGCGCAGCUGUGCAUUACUGUCAUCUUCUUAAAGGAGAAAGCUGGGCUAGGUGAUCUGCUCAAGUUCUGAUUUGAAAAGCUGUGAUUCUAUGGCCCGCUCUAUCCUGCUUUGUAGACUUGGUGGAUAGUUCUAGGAACAAGCCCUGAGUUUGCUCAGCACUUUUUGUAUGCAGUUCUGUCUGUCCUUAGACCUCCCCUCAUCUGUCCAGGGACCCCUCCUGGUGAUGGCCCAUCCAUUGCACCCCCUUCCCCAGCCUCAGUUAAAUCUGUUCACCUUCUCAGAAUUUCCAUGGCUCAAUGUUGUUUUAUCAUCUUUUGCGACACUGAUUAGAUGAUUCUAAUCUGUAUGGUUGCUAUUGCUCGUGCACAUGCCUUACUUUCUAUGUUCCUAUAAGCUUCCAGAGACAAAGGUUGCAUCUCUCUUUUAAGAAGUCACCAUGAUGGGACUUUCCCAGUGGUCGAGUGGCUAAGGUUCCAUGCUCCCAAUGCAGGGGGCUUGGGUUCCAUCCCUGGUCAGGGAACUAGAUCCCACAUGCCACAACUAAGAGUUCCCAUGGUGCAACCAAAGAUUCCACGUGCCACGGCUAAGACCCAGAACAGCUAAACUAUGGCCCACCAGGCUCACCUGUCCAUGGGAUUCUCCAGGCAAGAAGACUAGAGUGGGUAGCCAUCCCUUUCUCCAGGGGAUCGUCCUGACCCCGGGACUGAACCCACGUCUCUCGCGUCUCCUGCAUCGGCAGGCAGGCUCUUUACACACGGAGCCACCUGGGAAGCACAAGGUUAGGGUGGUGCCGUAAUCCAAUAUGGGCUUCCCAGCUGGUGCUAAUGGAAAAUCCCAAGGACAGAGGAACCUGGUGGGCUAUAGUCCAUGGGUUCACAAAGAGACACGACUGAGGAACUCCGCGCACAUGCUCGCAUGAUCCAAUAUAGCUAGUCUUCCUACAAGAUAGCCUGGUGAGACAGAAACACACAGGGAGGAGGUUUUGUGACGAAGAAGGCAGAGACUGGAGUGUGAAGCAGCUGGGAGUGAAGGAAUGCCAAGGAUUGCCAGAAUUCACCAGGAGCUGGAGAGAGGUUCUCGGGCCUCCUGGCUCCAGUCCAAUUCCCGGCCUCCACGAAGAGACUCUGUUUGGAUGAAUGUAGACUUCACCACUCCUAAAGCUCUCCAGGGAAGAGAGUUCUCAAUCAGCUUCAGCCACCUGCUUCUCUUUGACAACCAUGCUCUUGGGAAGUUCUUCGUGGAACCUUACUUAAAGCCCUGCCCUGGAAAUGGAUUUGGUUUCCUCCUACUUAUCCUCAGGGAACCCAGAGCACAGCCAAUUUCUGUCCUCUCCUGAAAGCUCAGAAGACCUGGCGGUAAGAAGAGCCCUGCCUCACAUGAGAAGAGUGGCCUGGGGCUCAGCAUCAGAGUGCUCCUUAAGUGGGACAUUGCUCUCCCAUCUCCACCAGCCCUGCUGCCUCGCACGUUCCACUCACCUGAGCCUGCCGGUGGGUGAGGCGAGAGUGCGGGUGAGGAUAAAACAUCCAAAUGAUCACCUGAGAGGUCCGUUUCUUGGCCAGAUGUGGUACCAUUUAGGUGCACCUACUAUCAGCUCAUCUAAUCCUCCCAGCAACUCUAGAAGAUAAGCACCAGCGUCAUCACCAUCGAGUCUCAGACAAUUAAAGGGCGUGCAGACAGAAACUG